AAUAAAAAAAAAUAAUUAAAAAGAAAGCCCUUAAAAAAUGAAUUUAAUUGUAAGCCGAAAAUUAAUUGAAUAAUAAUAAUAAAAAAAACAAUGAAGUUCUCCGAUGACACAGCCACAGUCAAAACAAACAAAUUAAGAGAGGAAUAAAAUAAUUAUUCCACACCAAAUCCCCCUCUUUUGACUGGCGGCUGUGGUCAGCUGUGACUGGAUGAUCUCCAGGACGAUUGCCAGGACGACGUACUGCACGUAGACUGUGCAGAUCCUGAGCUGGCGCUGUCCUCAAGGAAAAACGUCGUGGGCACCAUAAUCACGCGUGAAUCCGGCCUUGUUGUUGUUGUUUUUCGCAUGCGGCGAGGGCGAGGUCUUGGUUCUUUGUGUGCUGAUUUUUCCUUCUCCCUCUCCUGGCUUGAUGGCGAACUUGGUUGUGGCGCCACUCUCAUCUCUCUCCUGCUGAUUUUUCUUCCCCCUCUUGCGAAAAGUUCAUUGACUUUUUGGCCGCCACAGAUAACAGCUGGCCCACGUUGUUUAUUUGCCGCACUCGUUGUGGUUUUUUGUGUGGGAGUUUUAAUGGCAAAUUCGGCCUUAUCUGUCGGUUGUCGGCGGCGCCGUCGGCGAGUAAAUGCACGCUGGGCGAUGUGGUCAGCAGGUGGGAAAUUUUGUCUUCGUAAACUUGAUUGGACACUGUGCGGCACGGCAAGAUCGCUUUAGAAGCCCUUUGUUGUCGUCGCUUGAAUCUUCUUUUCCGUCGACGUUUCUCUCUACGAGUCGCAGAAGGGACGUGGUCGUUGCUGGCGGAUGGUCGGUGGGCAUGGACAAUAUCCGUCUUGUCUGAGUGUGUGGAGAAGUGAGGGCGAGAAUUGGAGUUGCAAGCAUGGUUGGUGAGAAGGUAUUCUGGAUGAACUGAAUUCUGCCUUCUCGUGGAAAUUUGACGGAAGUGGUGGAAGCACUGCCGCAGGUGGCCAAUGCUGGAAGUCAAAGAGACCGACUGGAGGAAGGAUUGCCGAAGAGUAAUGCAAAUUUGGAGCAGAAGCCGAUGGUCCUGGCCAGCUCUGGCUUGUUGGGGAGUGGUUCUGGGAAGCAUAAAAUUGAGGAAGGUUUACUGCUCUUCGUUGGGUUGGAGGACAGUAUUGCAGUUUCCUCAACGAGAAUGGCGAUUUUGCGUGCCUCAAGAAUUGAUUUUGGUUCCUGGAUGUACACCUGCCAAUAAAAGUCGACUCGUAGGCCACGGAUGAAAAUGCGCAGGAACUCCGCUUCUCUAAUGUCAAAGUUUUGUUUUAAACUUAAUCCAACAAUGGGUUGUUCAUGGUGCCACAAUUCGUCUGCCAGCCCUCUCAAUCGGUGCUUACUGGCGGCUCAAAUUCGUCUUGAAAAACUUUCUGGAGUGAGGAGAAGUUGCUGAUGGUGGCCUCGUCAAGAUGCUUAACAAACUCCCUUGCUCGUCCAGAAGUGCGGAAAAGUAACAACCACCACACAUCUUUUGGCUGCAGUUGUUGGUCCCUCUGUGAGUACAUCUGGUUUUAGCGCCUCGUUAUGAUUGAUGUGGGACACUGGGUGUUCAGGCAGCAGUUGGCCAACCUGUGAUGCGCCGUCCAAGGGGAGGAGGUGCUCCUGAGGGUGCAGGACAUCCACCUGAGUGUACUGCUGGUAUUGGCAAGAAAGAAGUGUUUGUUGUUGUUGAAGUGGGAGGGAAAUUUGUGCAAUUGGGUCGUUGUCGUCCGACUUGUACAGCUGUAGAGUCUUUCCAGGGUCACACCCUCCAGGGUCACACCCCGUUGUUGUCUGCUCACAAGCCAGGGGUUCAAAAUGAAUUUGAUUUAAAAAUAAAGUAGACAGUUGUUCUUUGUCUGCCAUUGUAUUUUAACAAAAUAAAGUUGUAAAAAUUGUGUAAAUUGUAAUUUAAUUGUUUAUUUUGUUUGUCAGUAUAAUCCCCAGGAGUGCCAGGAUCGCCAAUUGGUAUUACAAAUUUAGUUUAUUGCAAACCAAAAUGAUAAUAAGAAGUUGCAAGUAAGGGGUUUGCAUAUGAUUAUACUGACUGAUUAUUUAAUUGCUUAAUAAAUUAUUAAUGGGUAAUUGUUCAGUAAUUUCUAUUGUGUAAAUUAUUAUGAUUAAUUUGUAAUUGUUUAAAACAAUGCAAGUUGGCUUACACACGGGCUUUAUUGUAUUCACAACAAUUCUGGCUGGAUAGGGUAAAUUCACUGGCUCGAAAUUGUCCGUAUAGUGUCACUUAAAAAUCAACAAAUGGGAGCGGUGUUCCCUGGGUAGGCCGGCAGGCUGCCCUGGAAACGUCCUUGCUGGGAACCCGGACGGCUCCCUGCAGGUCGGCGGCGGCUCUCGGCGCGGCCGGGGCCCACGGCGUGCGGGUCUCUGGCGGCGGACGUUCGGACGCCUUCGUCCGAGCGCUCGCUGGCGGCGUGCCACGUCGGCGCCCGAUUCCUCGGACAGGAAGGAGCUGGGGACAUAAACAAUAGGUCACUCGGCUGUACUUCCGUCUCACGUAGUGGUUUGACCUUUCGGCCAAAAGAAGGCCUCAGGGAGAAACAAUUGUAAUUUCUCUUACCUGGCAAAACUGCUCCGUACGGCUUCGGACGGCUCGGCCACACCCCGGACAGUACGAUGGACACAGGCGUGCCGCUCGAGGGGCUCGGGACGCGGUCGGCCUUCCGGCUGUCCUCGGACGAGACAGCGUCGGGACAAGACAGCGGUCGGGGCCUUGGGACGGCUCGGACGAGUGCGAAGGGUUCGGACGGGUGUCCGAAACUGCACUGGAAGUCCAGGUGUCCUCGGAUUUCUCUGAGGUCUGUCAGCCUUCUGCAUCGAGCCAGCGGACGGAGCGCCUUUUAUAGCGCGGGUAGCAGCCCUGGGAGGGUCGCGCAAAACCCACCCACCCAUU